GCCUUUGUGGUGUAGUGGUGAGCACGCUCGACGCGUAUUCGAGAGGUCCGUGGUUCGAUUCCCGGACAGGGCA
rnacentral:tRNA from 1 species